AUGCACGUGAACUUCGCAGGCAGGCACUCAUGUUUAAGGAGAACAAAGAGCGGGAGAAGGCCGAAAGUAAAAAAAAGCGGGAAACAAGUUGCCCAGCUCGGGGAACAAAGUAAACAAUCGAUUGCCCCGCUUAUAGUGGAAGCCUUCUGUCCUGAUGCCCCCGAGAUCAUACAAGCUGCGGCAGCACAGGGAUUGACUGUAACGAGUGCCAGAGAACAAGCGGCCAACUUAGGUAUUACUCUUCGUGAACUGUUAGGCCUUGAUGAGGCGCCAGUGAAGGAGGUAGUAAUUACAUAUGUCAAGAAUGGGCCUCUCGUCGAGCCUGCGGAGGAAAAGGAUCUACCUCCACAAAUGAAAGGU
rnacentral:rRNA from 1 species